UGGGGAAUAUUGCACAAUGGGGGAAACCCUGAUGCAGCGACGCCGCGUGAGCGAAGAAGGCCUUCGGGUCGUAAAGCUCUUUUAUAUGGGAAGAUAAUGACGGUACCAUAAGAAAAAGCCCCGGCUAACUACGUGCCAGCAGCCGCGGUAAUACGUAGGGGGCUAGCGUUGUCCGGAAUCACUGGGCGUAAAGGGUUCGCAGGCGGCAAUGCAAGUCAGGUGUAAAAGGCAAAGGCUCAACCUUUGUAAGCAUCUGAAACUGUAUAGCUUGAGAAGUGUAGAGGCAAGUGGAAUUUUUGGUGUAGCGGUGAAAUGCGUAGAUAUUAAAAAGAAAACCGGUGGCGAAGGCGGCUUGCUGGGCAGUAACUGACGCUGAGGAACGAAAGCGGGGGGAGCAAACAGG
rnacentral:rRNA from 1 species